GCAGCUCACUACGGGUGCCGAGUGGAAGCAGGCUCUUCGAAGCCUGUGGACACGAAGCUGAGAUUGUACCGUUACUACUCGAUCAAGUUAAUGCUUGCGUGGGAAAGUGCUGCUGCUCCAAA
rnacentral:ncRNA from 1 species